UGAGAUGUUGGGUUAAGUCCCGCAACGAGCGUAACCCCUAUCUUAUGUUGCCAGCACGUUAUGGUGGGGACUCGUAAGAGACUGCCGGGGUCAACUCGGAGGAAGGUGGGGACGACGUCAAGUCAUCAUGCCCCUUAUGUCCAGGGCUUCACACAUGCUACAAUGGCCAGUACAGAGGGCUGCGAGACCGUGAGGUGGAGCGAAUCCCUUAAAGCUGGUCUCA
rnacentral:rRNA from 1 species